rnacentral:rRNA from 1 species
UACGUAGGCAGCGAGCGUUGUUCGGAGUUACUGGGCGUAAAGGGUGUGUAGGCGGUUGUUUAAGUUUGGUGUGAAAUCUCCCGGCUCAACCGGGAGGGUGCGCCGAAUACUGAAUGACUCGAGUGCGGGAGAGGAGAGUGGAAUUCCUGGUGUAGCGGUGAAAUGCGCAGAUAUCAGGAGGAACACCGAUUGCGAAGGCAGCUCGCUGGGACGGUCACUGACGCUGAGACGCGAAAGCGUGGGGAGCAAACAGG